AGGGGUGUAGCACACAGUAGAGCAUGUGCUUAGUAUGCACAAGGCCCUGAGUUUGAUCCCAGCACCACAA
rnacentral:tRNA from 1 species